GAUCCUGGCUCAGGAUGAACGCUAGCGGCAGGCUUAACACAUGCAAGUCGAGGGGCGAGCGGGGUGGUAGCAAUACACUGCCGGCGACCGGCGCACGGGUGCGUAACGCGUAUGCAACCUACCCAUAACAGGGGCAUAACACUGAGAAAUUGGUACUAAUUCCCCAUAACAUUCGAAGAGGCAUCUCUUUGGGUUGAAAACUCCGGUGGUUAUGGAUGGGCAUGCGUUGUAUUAGCUAGUUGG
rnacentral:rRNA from 1 species